rnacentral:ncRNA from 1 species
CGCGGAUUCUUGAAUGAGACCUCCAGCCGCCCUCGGCCGGACCUGACCCGACUUCCCCCGGGCCAGGCACGGAACCGGUGAGCGGAUGGGGAUCUGAUCCAAGGGUCCCCUGUCA